AUUGAACGCUGGCGGCAGGCCUAACACAUGCAAGUCGAACGAGUGGCGGACGGGUGAGUAAUGUAUGGGAAACUGCCUGAUGGAGGGGGAUAACUACUGGAAACGGUAGCUAAUACCGCAUACCAUCGGAUGUCCCCAGAUGGGAUUAGCUAGUAGGUGGGGUAAAGGCUCACCUAGGCGACGAUCCCUAGCUGGUCUGAGAGGAUGACCAGCCACACUGGAACUGAUACACGGCCCAGACUCCUACGGGAGGCAGCAGUGGGGAAUAUUGCACAAUGGGCGCAAGCCUGAUGCAGCCAUGCCGCGUGUAUGAAGAAGGCCUUAGGGUUGUAAAGUACUUUCAGCGGGGAGGCGUUACCCGCAGAAGAAGCACCGGCUAACUCCGUGCCAGCCGCCGCGGUAAUUC
rnacentral:rRNA from 1 species